rnacentral:lncRNA from 1 species
GCUUGUUUUCCUCUAUAAUAACAUAAUUAGCCCAUUUAGCUCCAAAAAGACAUAGUUAGCUAAUUUAGCUCCAAGAAGAGGAGAAGAGGAGAAAUGAAAAGAAGGAAGAAGAAGAAGAAGAAGAAGAAGAAGAAAAGAAGGAGAAGAAGAGAAGAAGAAGAAGAAGAAGAAGAAGAAGAAGAAGAAGAGAAGGAGAAGGAGA